AGCACAGGUUUACCUGUGUGACUGCGUACCUUUUGUAUAAUGGGUCAGCGACUUAUAUUCUGUAGCAAGGUUAACCGAAUAGGGGAGCCGGAGGGAAACCGAGUCUUAACCGGGCGUUAAGUUGCAGGGUAUAGACCCGAAACCCGGUGAUCUAGCCAUGGGCAGGUUGAAGGUUGGGUAACACUAACUGGAGGACCGAACCGACUAAUGUUGAAAAAUUAGCGGAUGACCUGUGGCUGGGGGUGAAAGGCCAAUCAAACCGGGAGAUAGCUGGUUCUCCCCGAAAGCUAUUUAGGUAGCGCCUCGUGAAUUCAUCUCCGGGGGUAGAGCACUGUUUCGGCUAGGGGGCCAUCCCGGCUUACCAACCCGAUGCAAACUGCGAAUACCGGAGAAUGUUAUCACGGGAGACACACGGCGGGUGCUAACGUCCGUCGUGAAGAGGGAAACAACCCAGACCGCCAGCUAAGGUCCCAAAGUCAUGGUUAAGUGGGAAACGAUGUGGGAAGGCCCAGACAGCCAGGAUGUUGGCUUAGAAGCAGCCAUCAUUUAAAGAAAGCGUAAUAGCUCACUGGUCGAGUCGGCCUGCGCGGAAGAUGUAACGGGGCUAAACCAUGCACCGAAGCUGCGGCAGCGACGCUGAUGCGUUGUUGGGUAGGGGAGCGUUCUGUAAGCCUGCGAAGGUGGCCUGUGAGGGUUGCUGGAGGUAUCAGAAGUGCGAAUGCUGACAUAAGUAACGAUAAAGCGGGUGAAAAGCCCGCUCGCCGGAAGACCAAGGGUUCCUGUCCAACGUUAAUCGGGGCAGGGUGAGUCGACCCCUAAGGCGAGGCCGAAAGGCGUAGUCGAUGGGAAACGGGUUAAUAUUCCCGUACUUGGUGUUACUGCGAAGGGGGGACGGAGAAGGCUAUGUUGGCCGGGCGACGGUUGUCCCGGUUUAAGCGUGUAGGUGUGUGUUCCAGGUAAAUCCGGUUCACUUUAACACUGAGGCGUGAUGACGAGGCACUACGGUGCUGAAGCAACAAAUGCCCUGCUUCCAGGAAAAGCCUCUAAGCAUCAGGUAACAUCAAAUCGUACCCCAAACCGACACAGGUGGUCAGGUAGAGAAUACCAAGGCGCUUGAGAGAACUCGGGUGAAGGAACUAGGCAAAAUGGUGCCGUAACUUCGGGAGAAGGCACGCUGACACGUAGGUGAAGUGAUUUACUCAUGGAGCUGAAGUCAGUCGAAGAUACCAGCUGGCUGCAACUGUUUAUUAAAAACACAGCACUGUGCAAACACGAAAGUGGACGUAUACGGUGUGACGCCUGCCCGGUGCCGGAAGGUUAAUUGAUGGGGUCAGCGCAAGCGAAGCUCCUGAUCGAAGCCCCGGUAAACGGCGGCCGUAACUAUAACGGUCCUAAGGUAGCGAAAUUCCUUGUCGGGUAAGUUCCGACCUGCACGAAUGGCGUAAUGAUGGCCAGGCUGUCUCCACCCGAGACUCAGUGAAAUUGAACUCGCUGUGAAGAUGCAGUGUACCCGCGGCAAGACGGAAAGACCCCGUGAACCUUUACUAUAGCUUGACACUGAACAUUGAGCCUUGAUGUGUAGGAUAGGUGGGAGGCUUUGAAGUGUGGACGCCAGUCUGCAUGGAGCCGACCUUGAAAUACCACCCUUUAAUGUUU
rnacentral:rRNA from 1 species